UACGGGGGGGGCAAGCGUUGUUCGGAAUUACUGGGCGUAAAGGGCUCGUAGGUGGCCAACUAAGUCAUACGUGAAAUCCCUCAGCUUAACUGGGGAACUGCGCCUGAUACUGGUUGGCUUGAGUUUGGGAGAGGGACGCAGAAUUCCAGGUGUAGCGGUGAAAUGCGUAGAUAUCUGGAGGAAUACCAGUGGCGAAGGCGGCGACCUGGGCCAAUACUGACGCUGAGGUGCGAAAGCGUGGGGAGCAAACAGG
rnacentral:rRNA from 1 species